AUUGAACGCUGGCGGCAGGCCUAACACAUGCAAGUCGAGCGGAUGAAGGGAGCUUGCUCCUGGAUUCAGCGGCGGACGGGUGAGUAAUGCCUAGGAAUCUGCCUGGUCGUGGGGGAUAACGUCCGGACACGGGCGCUAAUACCGCAUACGUCCUGAGGGAGAAAGUGGGGGAUCUUCGGACCUCACGCUAUCAGAUGAGCCUAGGUCGGAUUAGCUAGUUGGUGGGGUAAAGGCCUACCAAGGCGACGAUCCGUAACUGGUCUGAGAGGAUGAUCAGUCACACUGGAACUGAGACACGGUCCAGACUCCUACGGGAGGCAGCAGUGGGGAAUAUUGGACAAUGGGCGAAAGCCUGAUCCAGCCAUGCCGCGUGUGUGAAGAAGGUCUUCGGAUUGUAAAGCACUUUAAGUUGGGAGGAAGGGCAGUAAGUUAAUACCUUGCUGUUUUGACGGUACCAACAGAAUAAGCACCGGCUAACUUCGUG
rnacentral:rRNA from 1 species